CUCUGGCCCUGAUGGUGGUCGUGCCCUGUCUGCCUUGGCACUGGCCAUUCCCGCACCCGAGGCCGAGGCCGACGCCAAGGCCAACAGGAGAUUCUUCUUCGGACAUGGAUUGGGUGGAUUCGGCGGCGGCUUCGGUGGAUUUGGUGGAUAUGGAGGAUAUGGAGGAUACGGCUAUGGACACAGGCCCUAUGGAUUUGGAUACUUUGGCUAAGGACAGAAGCUGAGGAUUCGGACGAUCCUUCUCAACUCCUUCCCCGGAUGCUGACCGCUGGCAGGGCUGCGCAGAUCGUCACCAAACCUCUGCUUCUGCCUUGACAACCUGCCAACCUGGGAAGGAAAUGAAACUCUGCCUUUAUUUACUAUCUUCGUUCGACUUUACCUGUUCACUAAGAAUGGUUCAAUAAAUUGGUGUUUGCCUUGAA